rnacentral:tRNA from 1 species
GGGGUUGUAGCUCAGUGGUAGAGUGCUCAUCUGGCAUGUGUGGGGGACUGGGUUUGAUCCUCAGCACCA